AGUGAACGCUGGCGGUAGGCCUAACACAUGCAAGUCGAACGGCAGCACAGUAAGAGCUUGCUCUUACGGGUGGCGAGUGGCGGACGGGUGAGGAAUACAUCGGAAUCUACUUUUUCGUGGGGGAUAACGUAGGGAAACUUACGCUAAUACCGCAUACGACCUACGGGUGAAAGCAGGGGAUCUUCGGACCUUGCGCGAUUGAAUGAGCCGAUGUCGGAUUAGCUAGUUGGCGGGGUAAAGGCCCACCAAGGCGACGAUCCGUAGCUGGUCUGAGAGGAUGAUCAGCCACACUGGAACUGAGACACGGUCCAGGCUCCUGCGGGAGGCAGCAGUGGGGAAUAUUGGACAAUGGGCGCAAGCCUGAUCCAGCCAUACCGCGUGGGUGAAGAAGGCCUUCGGGUUGUAAAGCCCUUUUGUUGGGAAAGAAAAGCAGCAGGUUAAUACCCCGCUGUUCUGGCGGUACCCAAAGAAUAAGCACCGGCUAACUUCGUG
rnacentral:rRNA from 1 species